rnacentral:rRNA from 1 species
CCUACGGGCGGCAGCAGUGGGGAAUAUUGGGCAAUGGACGCAAGUCUGACCCAGCAACGCCGCGUGAAGGAAGACGGCUCUCGGGUUGUAAACUUCUUUUUAGGGGGAAGAGCAGAAGACGGUACCCCUUGAAUAAGCCACGGCUAACUACGGGCCAGCAGCCGCGGUAAUACGGAGGUGGCAAGCGUUUUCCGGAUUUACUGGGUGGAAAGGGCGUGCAGCCGGGGAGACAAGUCAGAUGUGAAAUCAACGGGCUCAACCCGUGAACUGCAUUUGAAACUGUUUCCCUUGAGUGUCGGAGAGGUAAUCGGAAUUCGUGGUGUAGCGGUGAAAUGCGUAGAUAUCAGGAAGAACACCGGUGGCGAAGGCAGAUUACUGGACGAUAACUGACGGUGAGGCGCGAAAGCGUGGGGAGCAAACAGGAUUAGAUACCCCUGUAGUC